rnacentral:lncRNA from 1 species
UACCUCCUUCUGGAACUGAACAAUAUUCACUUAGAAAGUAUUCCUAUCCCCACCUCCUACCCAAAUUGAACUGAAUCAGAUCAAGUCUUUAAAUCUAAUUACCAGUUACCAGAAAUACUGCAGUCAGAGGAGCAUGCUGAUGCCACGAGACGGAGUCAGCAAAAUCAAGACUGUGGGAAACUACCCAAGGCAAAUGACCCAAUUCCUUCACAACAACAACAACAACAACAACAAAAAUUUCAAGGAAAAUAAGAAUCUAUAAUUUAUCAAUGAUGAAUGAAGCAGAAUGAAUGAAGCAGAAUGCUCAGGUGUGGACCCUGCCUCAAACAGACUGACUGUUCGAAACGUUUAUGAGACGCCCAGGCAGAGCUGAAUGCAGUAUCUCUAGCCAAAAUCAGGGUAUUGUGAUCACAUCUCAGAACAGAGUCAUAUUCGUUCAAAUAGAGGUCGUGUGAUUGCAGACCACUGGUUUCUGGCGAGUUGGCCAAAUGUGCAGGUCUGUCCUGGGCGUCUGCUCCAGGUAGUCAAUGAGACACACUAAUAUCUACCUCCCAGCUACGGAGGCCCAUGAGCAGUAAAGUAACACUCACAGGAGAUCAUUUUUACUUAAAAGAUGAAGCUAUUGAGUAAGAAUACGUCUCACUCCUUAGUGACGAUUCAGUCAUGUUUCCUCGUUGUUCUUUCUUAUUUCACUUCAGUAACUUCCCAAAUGCUUGGAGUUCUUCGUGGGAGAGAGUGCUGGGAGAAGCUGCUUCCUCUCUGAACGCUUCUCCACCAGGACUUCGUGGCGUGACCGGGGAUGGCAUUGCCUGGUCUCUGUUUCAGCUGAGCUGAUCACAAACUCUUGUGCUUAUAGAUAGUCUAGAUUUUAUUCUUGGUUCCAACCGGCAGGUCAGAAGCUAGAUGUGGUGUCUCAGUUCACCACUGGCUUGUUCUUGGGAAACAGUUUUGGUGUUUCCAAACCAUUGGCCUGAGUUGAUGGGCCAUAAAAAGAAAAAAAAAUUGGCAAAUAAACUUUCGCAUUUAUUAUAGAUAGGACAUGGCUAAUAAAUUCUAAAAUCUUUUCUAUAAUGGUCCAAAAUUAAUUGUUUUCUUACCAUCCUAGUAUCAAGAAAAAAAAAAAAGAAGAAGAAGAAAGAAAGAAAGAAAAACAGCUUUGCUACUUAGUUCUGUUCUUGUAUGAACACCAUGUCAGGCACCCAGAGUCACGUUCUCUGCCUUUUUCUAAUUACUGCAAAGCAGCGCCAGGCACGGAUCAUUACUUCACGUUGUUUCUCCGUGUUCUUCUUUUAUCCUAAUUUAUACUUAUUUCUUAAAACUUCCAGGUCUGUGCAGUGACAGACGUCAUUCCAAGCCUGUUUUGUCAGGCACUGGUAUUGACACCCAUAAGGACAUGUCCAGCUAAGAAGCAUGAGUCCUGCCUUCUCUCACGGUCGUGCGCUGACUUGUUAGCAUUGAGGCACUUGAAUUCCCGAUGCUGCAGCCGCACCUCGCAGCCAGAUGGCACUCACAGGGAAACACGGCCCUGGAACACUUCAUGAAGCUGAGAGGGAGGAAAAGAGGAUUUAUUGGAAGUCAUAGUUUCCUUCCACAAACCCCAAAGCACAGGGGUCAUCAAAUGCUGCCUAGCCUCUAACUCCCUGAGGGCCCAUGAUACGCCAUCGGUUUUCCUGGAGGGAAUUAGGAGUCUUGCACAACUGGCCCGGCUAGUUCACGCUCAUGGUGUUCCUGUGACAGAAUGCAGGCCUCGAGCCAAGAUCAGGCCCCCUACACUCUGGCCCCAUCCCUUGGUAGAGUGCAAAGAUCCAGAUGAGGUGUGUGUCUUCAGCCCUCCGAUGUCCUCACUGUGUGACAUGCGGUCCUGCUAAGUGCUGGCUGUGCAUUGUACUAGCAUUUUAUAGGGAAAACAUAUUGGCUCCUCUUCUAUGUCAGGCCCAGUGGAGAUGGGAGUCCAACGCUUUACACCUCCAUUCACCCGAGUAGCUUGAUGUCUACUUCCCAGCAGUUUCAAAAUCAUAAAGGGGCCAGCAGGACCCAUGGGACCUGACACUUGGACUUGAGAGCUUUCCUCCAAGAGAAGGAGGAAUGGAUGGAAGAUAUCAGGCACAUUGAGGAACAGAAGUUUGGCCAGUGGCGAUGAGAGCCGAGUGGUCAGAUGUCCAACUGCUGAUUCCCUAAUCGCUCAACUUGUUUUCCUGUCAGUUGCAGCCAUAACAAAACUCUUAGCUAACACACGGCAGGAGGCGGAGUAUGGGACCCCUGUCGCAGGCUCCGAGAGGCCUUCUGCUGACAUCUGCUCAGGGGUCGGCUCAGCAAUGAAAUUUAGGCAGCAGUGGGGCUGCCGUCCUGGGAGGUGAGAAACGAACAGUCACCUAAGGUCAGGGGCGGAGCAGUGGAACCCCCGGCUGAGCGCUGGCCAGGGGUCUCCUCCGUGAGAAGGCCCUGUUUGGAGGCCGUGUCUGAAGCUAUUGCUAAAGCAGGAAAGGUGCUCUGAACCUUCCAUCUAUCCAACAAGGCAAGCCACAUCGGUGCAUGUGGAACCUGGGACUGUGGGAGUUGGAAUGUUGACGGGGGUCAGUAGUGUGUGGUCGUUGUCAUGCAGAAUUCCAGGUGUGGAAGUCAUGGGGUCAGUUAGGGCCUGGUUUUGGGGGGGGGAUUUCCUUUUCUGAAGUGGAGGAGGGGGUGGGUGAAAUUCAGCCUUGACCCUUUCAUGGAUCCAGAUGGCUUUGACGAUUGAGGGUGCCCAGCCUGACAACCCUGGAGGCCAGAGGAGUGGAGGGGGUGAGAAGUGUUCCCGUCUCAGAAAGUGAGACCCUGAGGAGCCUCUGGGGGUGGCCCAGGGUCUCCCUAGCUGGAGACCCAAGUAGGAGCUGAGAUCUUUGGAGGAACGGAGGAGGCAGAGGGGUCACAAAGAUGCCAGCAGGCUAAGCCAGAUGAGUGGGGCUGCCGGACGAAGGGCCAGCUCUCUUUGUCCUGCUGAAAAGCUUUAGUUUCUUCAUCUUAAAGCGAUUUUAAAAAGAUGAGAUCAAAUAAUUCAGUUUCCAUCAUUAUGUGAUUUUUAAGUGAAGUCAUUUCCGAACUCUGUGCAGUAGAUGAGGUGAUUUCUUCUAUGGAAAAUGAAAAUAGUUGGUAAUGUUAUUCAGCUUAUUCCUUGAAUAGGCUCUUACAAAUUUCUCCCAACUCUUUUUCAGUUUUCUCAGAAACUUGGCACAUCCAUUUUCUUUUUUUUUUAACCAAAUUUUGUAUUAUAACAAUUUUCAUCAUUUCAUCUAAAAUUAUGUCUAAAGACAAAAAGAUUUGAAGAAAUACUCGGGCUAGGGUUGUGGCUCAGUGGUAGAGCGCUUGCCUAGCAUGUGUGAGGCACUAGGUUCAAUCCUCAGCACCACACAAAAAAUAAGUAAAUAAAUAAGAUAAAAGUACUGUGUCCAUCUACAACUAAAAAAACCCCACAAACAAACAAACAAAAAACCGAAAAAGGAAAUACUAUAUAUAGGCACACUGUCCAUGAUUUCCUCCAGAAAAGAGCAAGAUGACUGUGUCUUAACUUUUCUAUAUUUUAAAAAUUGUCUUCAUAUUAAUAAUCAGAGACAACUAACGAAUGCUAUUUAAAUAAGUGCUGUUCCUCCAACACCCGUUUCAGAGGCCCCAAGCUUACACACAUCUCCACUGUCAAACGUUCCGUCUUCCAAGUAGCACUUCCCAGUGCAUCAUAUGCAGGUAUGGGUGUCUGUGUGGCACCAGAGAUAUGUCCUUCCAGAAUCAUCCAGCACAGUGCCUCAUUCACACUGUGUUAAAACACCAAGGACCAAAGGGAAAUAAAUCAGUUUUACAUUUCUAUUUCUUACUUAUUUAUAAAGAUAAAAGCAGCUAAGAAUAUAUGUAUAUUAUGAAAACAUUUAAUUUUUAUGUUUACUUUUGGUGUAGUGACCUUAUAGAGUCUUAAAAGUAUUUUUUUCCAGUGAUUCUGAGUCCAUUUUAAUAGAAAAUAGAGAGGAACAGUUUAGGCCAAGUGCUUUAAUUUUUCCUGUGGUGGUGUUUGUCAGCCCAGGGUCCUGUCUCUGGGCUCUGAGGUUCUAAGUGCAUCUUAGGACUGAUUUCUCCCAUGCUGGGUAUACUUGACAACUUCAGAAGCUGCACCAAUGUCUUCAUGUGGGGAACAUGUUGCAUGGAGCCAGUAAAAGUGGUCCUUUCCCAGAUAACAAGAAGAUGGCUGGCUGUUCUGCAGGGGACCAUCAGUUAUUCUAACCCAUGUGGAAUUUUAUGCCUGUAACAGCUAUUUAAAUAUCAUUUUAUAAUUUGAGUUAAAAAAUUAAAUGUCCACAGGAAGAAAUAUCUUCAAUAUAUUAGAAUGGUAGUAUAGUAUAGGCAAAAUGUAUAUUAACAUGCAAUGUUAAUAUUUAGUCAAUUUUCUCAUUUUACAUUUAAUUAAGUUUGAGUUCUGAGUAAAUGGGAGAAAUGACAAAAAUUAGUGUAUGAUAUAAAAUUGAGUGAAUUUAGGGAACACUUCAUAAAAUUUUCCUUUUGUAAAUUUCUGAAAAACAAUUUAAUUUCGUGGCUACUGCAUUUGGAGUGCUGUCGAAGGCACUUUUUCCUUCCCCAAUAUAAUAAUACUCUGCUCAUUUUUCCUUUGGAAACCUUGUUGUUUUAGUUUUAUGUCUGAGUCUGUGAUUUUUCUCAAAUUAAUUUUUUAUGUGGUGUAAGGGGAAUCAAGAUUUAUUUUUUUUGAUUUCUAAUUAGAAGAUUCCUACUUAUUGAAAAGAUUGUCCUUUCCCCAAUCAACUGCAGAGGAGCCCAUGUGUAAAGUGUGUGUGUGUGUGUGUGUGUGUGUGUGUGUGUCUGUGUGUGUGUGAGAUGGUUUGUGCCAACUAGUCCUCUCUACUGGCCUGCUUAUCGGCUCUUGGCUUGUGUCACACUGUAUUCAGGUUGCAGUUAUAUGUUCUCCAGCUUCAUUUUUGUUAGCAUUGGCUUGAUCUUCUGAUUCCUUCAAAUUAGAAGAAAAUUUUGAAUUUUAAAACAAACCUGCCAAUUUCUACUAAAUGAAUCUUAUGGGAUUUUGAUUGGGAUUACAUUGAAUAUUUGGACUCAGAGACCUGAAGAUCUUUUCUGUGCUUUAAUUACCUGCUCUGGACUAUAAUUAUUUGCUUAUCAUAUAUAAUAUGUUAUAUGUCUGACCCAGCUGAUCAUAUAUGUGCAUUAUUGUACAUUAACCUGUCCAUCUGCUUUAUAUGUUUUUAAAAAUAAUUUCCAGUUUAACUGAGGUAAAGUUGACAAAUAAAAAUUGUAUAUAUUUAAGGUGUACAAGGUGAUGUUUUGAUAUAAGUAUAGAUUGCAGAAUGAUUGCCACAAUAAAUCUAAUGAACAUACCAUGCCCUCAUAGUUAUAUCUGUGUGUGUGUGUAUGUGUGUGUGUGUGUGUGUGUGUGUGUGUUGAGACACUUAAGAUCAUAUCAACAAGCUGGGCACCGUGGCUCACACCUAUAA